rnacentral:misc_RNA from 1 species
GAUGAAGAACGUAGCGAAAUGCGAUAAGUAAUGUGAAUUGCAGAAUUCAGUGAAUCAUCGAAUCUUUGAACGCACAUUGCGCCCGCCAGUAUUCUGGCGGGCAUGCCUGUUCGAGCGUCAUUCAACCCUCAAGACCCCUUCGGGGGACUUGGUGUUGGGGACCGGCACAGGGGCCUGCCUGCUUGUCUUGCAGCGCCCUCGCCGCCCCCGAAAUGAAUUGGCGGCCUCGUCGCGGCCUCCCCUGCGUAGUAGCACAACCUCGCAACGGGAACGUGACGGCGGCCACUGCCGUAAAACAACCCAAUUUUAUUAGAGUUGACCUCGAAUCAGGUAGGAAUACCCGCUGAACUUAAGCAUAUCAAUAAGCGGAGGA